GUCUCCCCAGCCUCCAACAGGAACUAAUCCAGCUCCGGGCACCUCAGAAACAUUCAGGAAACUCCACUCAUGUGACACUUCUCUGUAAAGGAUCUGCGCUUUGCCUCCCACCUGGACGGGUGAACGAUUCCCAGUUGGCCUCCCUUCCCCUUAGCCUCCGUGCCACGGAGCCAGAGUGAUCCAUCCGAAUGGCCACCCUCGUGUUCACUUUGCUGGAAACAGCCUUGGCAUCUGAUUUUGAAGCUCUACUCAUUAAAGAAUCUGGGCUGGCCUCUUCACUUGCUUUGCCACUAAAAUAUGGCAGAAGUGAUGUUGUGUUUCUAGAGGCCGUGCCUACGUGCUGAACCCCCAUCACUGCCAUGGGAAUGAGCACAGGCCAGUCUGCUGGGACUGAGACACCCCACAGAGGGGAGCCAAGCUGGCCAAGGCCAACGAGGACCAGCCCAUCUGACCCUCAGCUGCCGACACGUGGGUGAGCCCGAUCAAGUUCAGCUGAGGCCGCCCAGGUUGGCGGGACUUUCCACAGACUCAUCAACCAGAUACAUGGCUAUUGUUUUACAUUUUGUGGGUGGUGUGUCACCCAGCAAUUACCUCCAGAUACAACACGUAACACCCAAGUAUGAUCACAUCACUCCACCGACUUAAACCUUUUUAAUAGCUCCUCGUUGCCCUCUGGAAAAAGUUCCAUCCCCCUCUCCAGCUUGGGAGGGCCCUCGUCAUCUAUAUUUUACUUUUUGCAGUGGCCCUUCCACGUGGAAAUUUCUACUGCAUAUCUCUGGAGUUUUCCUUGCAUCCAUGCUGUCACUUUCGCUAGUCUCAUGACCUGGAAUUUUCCCGACUCAGCUCAGGUGCCGCCUCUCAUGGGAGCCCCUCUCCGAUCUCCCAGGUGGGGUUCCAUGCAUGAUUUCUCUGUCAGGUUCUGAGAUGGCCUUGUCUCACUCCCCUCUGUAAAUGCAACUAUCUACUGAGGACCAGCCAUGUGCCCAAAGCUCAUCUAGAUACAGGAGAGAGAAAUAGAAGUAGUGGCUGCCUUCUGUCCCCAGGCCACUGGUCCCCUGAAAGAUCAUUUCAACAAAUUGUGGCAAGUUUGGUGAGAUGGGUAGGUUAGGAAAGGCUUUUUAUUAUUAUAAUUUUUUUUUUACGGGGACAUGAGGGACAGAUAAGAGUGUCGGUUUCAGAGAGAUGGGGAAAGGCCAAGGGAUGAGGCCCAAGGGGCGAGGGCCAGGGGCACGGGGUGUCCUUGGGGACACAUCUGCAGCUAGUAUGGCAUGACCGGAGCAGAGAGGGGGCAUGAAAUGAAGAAGGAGUCUGGAUUUACUUUGAAGGUCUUGGGGAGACACCCGUGGGUUACAAAUAAGCAUGCAGUAAGUGCUCAAUAUAUGUUUCCUUGUCAGCAUACCAUCUGCGUCCUCCAUUAGACUAAGAGUUCUUCAGGGACAAGAGUUAUUUCUUCUUUGUGCACCCCAGUUCCUUUCUGGUAUGUACUAGGACUAUAAGAUAUGGUUCUCAUCAAAGAAUGAAUGAGUCAAUGAGUAAAUACAUCCACCCAACAUAUAACAAAACAAACCAAAUGGAUCUUUUCAUCCAGACAAGAAUGACCUUUCUUCCCUGGUUCGGGAAGGUGUUGAGGAGGUUCCCACAGGCGCUGAGGAGGGUCCGGAGAACAAAGACCCCUGGUUCCUGCCGUCCUCUUCCUCGGCCUCUGUGAUGCAACAGGAGUGUGCGUUGGCGCCAUCUGGUGGCCACGGCCAUAUUCGGCGUUAAUCAGCUUCUUCCGUUCCUAAGGGGCCCUCAGGUUAGAGAAAGUGAGAAGGAAGCUGGAGCAGGCGGAAACAGUUCAGCUCAGCAUACACACAUCCCCACUCGCUCGGUCAGCUUCGAGGGGUCUCUGUGGAUGCCAACCGAGGAGCAUGAGAACCAUACGCUACGGAUGGUGGAAUAGAAAACUAGAAGCAGUCCAAAUCCCUGAUGGCUUUCUUAAGUGUCUCCAGAGCUACCGCAGGCUUCUGGGCACGUCCAGGCAGAGACCCGCUCAGAAGCUCUUCUUUGCGACCAAAGAUGCUUCUCGUCUUCUUCCUGCUGAGGAACACACCUCUCCCUGGCCCACUGCCUACUGGACACAAGAGAAUGAUAAAACCUCAUCUGUUCAGGGACCAUAGUUAGAUGCCUGUUACACUUGUUAUCCUAACCUUUAGAGGAGAUGGAUAGGGAGCCCAAGGGAACCUGUAUCUGACAUAAAGAAACAGAGAGCAUGAGGUUAGGGUAUAGCUAGCUUCUCUGGGAGAUAGGGAAUCUCUGUUCAAGGUGAACUUUCUCACGGUGGUGUCCUAGUGCAAGUCAUUUGUUUCUGAGCACACUGGAGGCACUUAAAUAUGUAUACAUUUACAUGCAUGUUUAUGUUACAUGCAUGUUACAUGUAAAUACAUAUAUACAUUUAAGUAUGCAUGUAAAUGCAUACAUAUUCAAGUAUGUUAGUUUGUAUACAAACAUAUGUAACACAUACAUGUAAACUAUCUAUGUGUGUACGGAUUAUAGAUUGUUUGUGAUGAAGAGGGUGUUGGAACUAGUUGAGGACCCACGAUCCUACCAGCUGGACAGAGUUAUGCCUGCAUGGCCAGGGACCAUGGGACCAUGGCCAGGGACCAGGGACGAUGGCAGAUCAGAGCACUUAAGAACACAGACUCCCUGGGUUCAAACCCCAGUGUCGCCAACGGGUACAUUGUUUCAACUCU